ensembl:lncRNA
AGGACAGGGGCUGGCACAGAUGGCUCACUCGGUGUCCCUGGGCUCCUAGCGACAGGAUGCAGAUUCGGGGCUGCCUGACGCCAAGAACUGGGCUUUCUCUCCCUCACCACACCACCGCUUGAGAAAGAACCCUGAGCACUGAAGCUUUUGAAAUACAAUGGUGGAGAAGACUCUUGAGAAUCCCUUGGACAGGAGGAAGAUCAAACCAGUGAAUCCUAAAAGAAAUCAAUCCUGAAUAUUCACUGUAAUGACUGAUGCUGAAACUCCAAUACUUUGGCCACAUGAUGUGAAGAGCCAACUCAUUGGAAAAAACCCCGAAUCUGGGAAAGAUUGAGGGCAGGAGGAGAAGGGGGCAAGAGAGGAUGAGAUGAUUGGAUGGCAUCACUGACUCAAUGGACAUGAAUUUUAACAAACUCUGGGAGAUAGUGAAGGACAGGGAAGCCUGGCGUGCUGCAGUCUGUGGGGUUGUAAGAGUUGGACAUGACUGAGGGACUAAACGGCAACAAACUCUUAUAUAGCUCAAAGGGCCUGGGAUCCUUUAACACAGAGAGAACAUUCCCCACACAUCAUUCAGAACAGCUUAAAAUGCCGGAAAUCAGUAGUUACCCAUUGCUGAGUGUGAUUCUUAUGUGUGUUUAGUUUUACUAGCCACCAUCCUGGGUCAGUAGGCACUUUAAAAUUUGUUGGUUUGUAGACAAAGCAAAUAAAACUCAUCUGUUUAUAACUGUUUUGAGAAUGAGAACUGGUGUAAGAUUUCCACUGGCAAAGUGUUUUAGAAGCCAGGUUGGGCCCUCUGUGGCUUUUCAUGGACUAUUUGUUGCCACAGACAGUUCACCUUAUGAUGAGCUGGGCCAAUACCCUCAAGAAGAAAAAGCAUGGACACCGUCCCCUUCUUUCUUCUGUUUCCUCCCCCUCUCCAUAAGAUGAAAGUUUUGGACUAUACCCUACGUGCCUACAAGGGCUGUGCUUGCCCAACUUCAAGACGGAAGAGAGGGCCCAGAGUCAGCAACAGAGAUAUCAGUGGUCUAACUGAUGGAACGUGGACGAUGAUGGUGGUCCCACACGACAACCUUAUUCCUACAUCAAACGUGGUCAGGGUGAGGACACGGAGAGCAGCUCUCCAUCCUUACCUUGCAGCUUGACUUCCAGGCUCUUCCAACAUCCUUGUCCUCUGGAACCUGGGAGACUUGGUAAACACAAAUUAACUUGCUAGAAUUCAUCUGCUUCUUGUCUCUCUCUCCCUGUUUACCUAAGUCUGAAGCUCCUGAUCAUUUCCUUCCGUUACAAACUUACUACUUUUGUUAACCACUCUUUCCUCCUACGUUACUAAUAGAACCACAAUAAUAGAGGUCUACGUGGAAUCUAUAGAUAGAUAAUCAAUUAUUCCUGCCCCAUAAGGGUAGGAAUAAUGGCAUCAUUGAGAAUAAUGGGAUUAGUGAGGGGUGAAGAAUAAAAUUCAGUAAGCUGUAUCCUUGUAAAUUGUGCUAUUUUAUUUUUCACUUCAAUCACUAACAUUUCUUGAUCAUUUGUUUUUAAGGCCAUGAACAGGCAGUUGCAAACAGGACUGAGCUGUACACCAGGAAGAAUGGAGACUGAGGCACACAGAGGUAAAGGAAGAAAUUCAGUGAUUAGACACAUGCUAAAGGCUCUUUUCCUUUUUUU